CUGAUUUUUUGAAAAAAAUUAAAAACUUUUUUUUAAAAAAAAAGUAAAAAAAUAGAAAUAAGUUUAAAUAGAAUAUUUGUGUAAUAUAUGACAAAGAGUAAAGUUGUAGCCCAGUGGUUAUUUUUACCUCCCAUCACUCAGACUUAUUUUUUUUUUUAAUUUUGUUUACUGACUUGUUGUUUCCUCAAAAGUUACGGUUUACCCAAUUACCCAGCUUCCCUGAAUUCCUCUUCCUCAUUCCCCCAAAUUGCAAAACCUGAAAACCCUAACUUCUUCCUCCUUGGCAGAGCCCCCAACGUCAGCCGCAACCGGAGCUUCACAUCCUCGCAUCGUCUACAUACGUUAGUGAAUUCAGCUGUAUUUGAUGGUCUGAUAGGUGGUGUACCAAAGAACAAUAUGGAGGACCCUCCUCCUGUUAAUAGCCCAAGAAGAGUUCUCAGCCUGUCAAGGAAAAGGAAAGGUGCUGGCUCUUUCUUAAAUGUUGAUAAUAAAGCUUCUGGAUUGGGUGUAUCUGGUCAACAUGGUCCAAAACCAGCUGAAGUAUAUGGCUUUGUGGGUUCUAUAACAACUAUGGUUGCAACAGCUAUAUUCUUCAUAUGGGCAUAUGCUCCUGAGCAUUGGUUGCAUUCUAUUGGGAUAUUCUACUAUCCUAACAGGUACUGGGCUGUAGCUGUACCAACAUAUUGCAUGGUCAUUAUAGUCUUAGGACUGGCAUUUUAUAUAGGCCUCAACUUUAUGGCAACUCCUUCCCCAACUUCCUUGAAUGUGAUUUAUGAUGAACACAGCAGAGACCCACAAAAUUUCACGACUGUUGAAGAUGAUCAGCCUAUUGAAUCUAUCUCGGAUAUUGACAUCAACCAAAUAAAUGAGCUUAUGUUUAGAGAUUUGAAAUGACAAUUGUAUAUGUUGACAUCAGUGGACUAAGUCGUCUCAUGUAGAUAAUAUCUGGGUAAGUGGUUUUGCUGAUAGCCCAUUGCAUUGCUUGGCUGAUUGGUGUAUUAUUUGUGUGAACAUGAAGGUAGGCUGUGCUAAUUUGUUGAAGGCCAACUCUCAAUAACAUUGAGUGAUCAUGAACAUGUACAGAAGGCCUUGAAUAAUUCCUUCAAUGACGUGAGCACGAAUUCCCCAAUCGAGCUGUAAACUUUUCACAGGAUCUGUAACAAUGUAAAAGACACACAAAGGAAACUAUAAGCUGGCAGUUGAUUAUGGCUA